rnacentral:rRNA from 1 species
ACACUCCUGCGGGAGGCAGCAGUGAGGAAUAUUGGACAAUGGGUGGAAGCCUGAUCCAGCCAUCCCGCGUGCAGGAAGACGGCCCUAUGGGUUGUAAACUGCUAUUAUCUGGGGAUAAACCUACUUACGUGUAAGUAGCUGAAGGUACCAGAAGAAUAAGCACCGGCUAACUCCGUGCCAGCAGCCGCGGUAAUACGGAGGGUGCAAGCGUUAUCCGGAUUUAUUGGGUUUAAAGGGUCCGUAGGCGGACUGAUAAGUCAGUGGUGAAAUCCGACAGCUUAACUGUCGAACUGCCAUUGAUACUGUUAGUCUUGAGUAAGGUUGAAGUGGCUGGAAUAAGUAGUGUAGCGGUGAAAUGCAUAGAUAUUACUUAGAACACCAAUUGCGAAGGCAGGUCACUAAGUCUUAACUGACGCUGAUGGACGAAAGCGUGGGGAGCGAACAGGAUUAGAAACCCCAGUAGUCCCAUGA